AUGGAUCCAAGGAUCCCAUGGAUCAGCCGGAAAUUUGGGAAUUUCUCCCUCCCACGGACACAACCUUUUCCCACGACUCCGGGAUCCGCUCGGGCCGUGGAUUCCCGUCUCCCUCUCCCGUUUUCCUGCGGAAUUCCGGGAAUUCCGGCCCACCUUGACCACCAGGAUGUAUCCCUCGGGGGGCACGAGGCCGAUCUCGUCCUUCAGCUCCAGCACGGCCCGGACCAGAUCCGUGACGUUCCCGUAGAUCCGAUCGUCCGUGCGGUCCAGCCGGGCCGUGGGCGCCGCCUGCAGGGGCUGAGGGGAAAUCCGGGAUCGGCCGGAUCCCGGGAAAACGGGAAUUCCCAUCCCGGGAAAAACGGGAAUUCCCAUCCCGGGAAAAACGGGAAUUCCCAUCCCGGGAAAAAUGGGUGUUCCCAUCCUGGGGAAAACGGGAAUUCCCAUCCCGGGAAAAACGGGCGUUCCCAUCCUGGGGAAAACGGGAAUUCCCAUCCCGGGAAAAACGGGCGUUCCCAUCCCGGGAAAAACGGGAAUUCCCAUCCCGGGAAAAACGGGAAUUCCCAUCCCGGGAAAAACGGGAGUUCCUAUCCCGGGAAAAACGGGAAUUCCCAUCCCCGGAAAAACGGGCGUUCCCAUCCCGGGAAAAACGGGAAUUCCCAUCCCCGGGAAAAACAGGAAUUCCCAUCCCGGGAAAACAGGAAUUCCUAUCCCGGGAAAAACGGGAAUUCCCAUCCCGGGAAAAACGGGAAUUCCCAUCCCGGGAAAAACGGGAAUUCCCAUCCCGGGAAAAACGGGAAUUCCCAUCCCCGGGAAAAACGGGAAUUCCCAUCCCGGGAAAAACGGGAAUUCCCAUCCCGGGAAAAACGGGAAUUCCCAUCCCCGGGAAAAACGGGAAUUCCCAUCCCGGGAAAAACGGGAAUUCCCAUCCCGGGAAAAACGGGAAUUCCCAUCCCCGGGAAAAAACGGGAAUUCCCAUCCCCGGGAAAAAGGGGCGUUCCCAUCUCAGGAAAAACGGGAAUUCCCAUCCCCGGAAAAACGGGCGUUCCCAUCCCGGGAAAAACGGGAAUUCCCAUCCCGGGAAAAACGGGAAUUCCCAUCCCGGGAAAACGGGAAUUCCCAUCCCGGGAAAAACGGGAAUUCCCAUCCCGGGAAAAACGGGAAUUCCCAUCCCGGGAAAAACGGGAAUUCCCAUCCCGGGAAAAACGGGAAUUCCCAUCCCCGGAAAAACGGGAAUUCCCAUCCCGGGAAAAAUGGGUGUUCCCAUCCCGGGAAAAACGGGAAUUCCCAUCCCGGGAAAAACGGGAAUUCCCAUCCCGGGAAAAACGGGAAUUCCCAUCCCCGGAAAAAGUCGGGAUGGGGAUUGGAGAAGUCGGGAAUUCCGCGCCCGUGGAACAGGGUGGGAUGGGAAGUUGCUUCCCAAGGAAAGCGUUCCGGGAUUUUGGGAUGGAAUUCCUGGAGAAUUCCCGGAAGUGUCCAAGGAAAAUUUGGAUCACUCCGGGAUCAUGGGAAGUGUCCCUGGGAUGGGAUUGGAGCUCCAUGGAUCCCAUCCCAAACCAUUCCGGGAUUCUGGGAUCGAGGACGCUCAGGAUCCAUCCCGAGGGAUUUUUAUGGAAUUCAGGGAUGGAAAAGGGAAGGGAGACCCUUCCUGGAGUCCCGAAUUCCCAGUGA
rnacentral:lncRNA from 1 species